rnacentral:rRNA from 1 species
AGUGAACGCUGGCGGUAGGCCUAACACAUGCAAGUCGAACGGCAGCACAGUAAGAGCUUGCUCUUACGGGUGGCGAGUGGCGGACGGGUGAGGAAUACAUCGGAAUCUACUUUUUCGGGGGGGAUAACGUAGGGAAACUUACGCUAAUACCGCAUACGACCUACGGGUGAAAGCAGGGGAUCUUCGGACCUUGCGUGACUGAAUGAGCCGAUGUCGGAUUAGCUAGUUGGCGGGGUAAAGGCCCACCAAGGCGACGAUCCGUAGCUGGUCUGAGAGGAUGAUCAGCCACACUGGAACUGAGACACGGUCCAGACUCCUACGGGAGGCAGCAGUGGGGAAUAUUGGACAAUGGGCGCAAGCCUGAUCCAGCCAUGCCGCGUGGGUGAAGAAGGCCUUCGGGUUGUAAAACCCUUUUGUUGGGAAAGAAAAGCAGCAGGUUAAUACCCCGCUGUUCUGACGGUACCCAAAGAAUAAGCACCGGCUAACUUCGUG